AAAGCAACUAAAGAUCUUUUUUAUUUUUUUUAUUUUAAUGAUGGUUACUUUUAAAAAUACAUACAGUAAUGAAUGUAACCAGUUAUAUUACAGACUUAUUUUGGGUUCUUAAUAUGUAGGUAAAUAAAAGAUGCCAAGACAAAUUUAUUUUAUUUUAAGUAUACAAAUCCACAUUAGAAACUACAUCAACACAAUCAUGUUAAAUUAUUUUAUAUUGUUAUAAGUAGGUAUGAUUAAAAUCACAAUGAUAUUUCUAAAUUUAUUAUUUAUCAAUCAGAAUAUGGAUACAAGUAACAGUUAAAAUCGAUAGCUUGAAUUAUAUCAUAGCUCUUUUAAGUAAGAGCAUACUUUAUUAAAUAAAACAGAAUAAAAUGUGAUCUACUAAUAAACCUAAACUUAAAUAGAACCUAUAAAUAUUAAAAUAUAUAUAAAUAAUAUAAUUGUUACGUUCACUUCACUCUCACUGCACUAACUCAUUGUUACUACUACUCGACAACAGGUGUCGCUAUUAUUACCGCUACUCGGCAACAGAUGGCGCCAUGUGUCCAAAGAGUUAAAAUAAAUACAGCUGUUUUCAUUUUUAUAAACAUACGUAUUCUUUAGGGUUUUAAUUUCUGUCUUGUUAAAUAUUCUGCUAAUUCAAUUAUUAAACUACAAUAUUGGAAAUAAUUAGUGCGCAUGGCAUUAAUGAAGGUCAAUGCGCAUAGUCAAAACAUUGCGCAUUCGCAUUCGAGUCGAUCGACCUGCGAACGGAACGGAACUGUCAGUGCUAACAAGAGCCUCUUCGUUUCGUUGUGCUGUUUUUGGUGCUGAGUGUUUGUAAAAAGUUACUAGCUUUUGGUUUUGUUUUGGUGCUUGUGUACAAUAGAAUUACAGAGGCAUGGCCCGGGGGCAGCGGCGGUAUUCCCGAAAAAAUAGGAAAGCUGAAAUUUAGAAGAAAAAAAAUAUUAAAUAAAGAUAUAAGAAGAGAUGUAAGAAGGCAAGCUGACAAUGGGAUGGUAUGUCUGCAAAGCCAAUCAUAAAGAACCAAAUAAACUGCUUAUGGGCUUAUGGUUAUAUUAAACCGAUUGCAUGUAUCUAUAUACUCUAAGCAUGUAUCAUAUUUGUUUUCUCAGCCUCACACUUUAACUCAGGUUCGCUGAAGCAUCGGCAAGCUGAAUGUGAGAUGGUAUGUUGAUGUCCUGUACAUUGACACGGAAAUGAGGCAUUGAAGAUGUUAUGUUGGGGACAAUGCAUGAUAGAACAG